rnacentral:rRNA from 1 species
UUGGUGAGGUAACGGCUCACCAAGGCUUACGGGUAUCGGGUCUGAUAGGAUGAUCCGCCACACUGGGACUGAGACACUGCCCAAACUCCUACGGGAGGCUGCAGUCGAGAAUCAUUGUCAAUGCACGAAAGUGUGAACAUGCGACGCCGCGUGGAGGAAGACGGCCUUUGGGUUGUAAACUCCUGUCAGCAGGGAGUAAGGAUAGGUUGUGUAAUACAUUUCCUAUUUGAUAGUACCUGCAGAGGAAGUCACGGCUAACUCUGUGCCAGCAGCCGCGGUAAUACAGAGGUGGCGAACGUUGUUCGGAUUUACUGGGCGUAAAGGGUCCGCAGGCGGUCUUGUGUGUCAGAUGUGAAAGCCCACGGCUCAACCGUGGAAUUGCAUUUGAAACUGCAAGACUAGAGUACUGGAGGGGAGAAGGGAACACUUGGUGUAGCGGUGAAAUGCGUAGAUAUCAAGUGGAACACCGGUGGCGAAGGCGCUUCUCUGGACAGAUACUGACGCUCAUGGACGAAAGUUAGGGUAGCGAAAGGGAUUAGAUACCCCUGUAGUCCUAACCGUAAACGGUGUGCACUAGACGUGGGUGGUUUUACCCCCAUCCGUGUCUGAGCUAACGCAUUAAGUGCACCGCCUGGGGAGUACGGUCGCAAGAUUAAAACUCAAAGGAAUUGACGGGGACCCGCACAAGCGGUGGAGCAUGCGGCCUAAUUCGAUGCAACGCGAAGAACCUUACCUGGGCUUGACAUAUAGCUGCAAACGACCCGAAAGGGACGUUGCCUUCGAGGGUGCUAUACAGGUGCUGCAUGGCUGUCGUCAGCUCGUGCCGUGAGGUGUUGGGUUAAGUCCCGCAACGAGCGCAACCCCUGUGUUUAGUUGCCAGCACGUAAUGGUGGGAACUCUAAACAGACUGCUGGUGAAAGCCAGAGGAAGGUGGGGAUGACGUCAAGUCAGUAUGGUCCUUAUGUCCAGGGCUGCACGCGUGCUACAAUGGGUGAUACAAUGGGAAGCCAAGCCGCGAGGUGGAGCAAAUCCUCAAAAUCA